rnacentral:rRNA from 1 species
GAUGAACGCUAGCGGCAGGCCUAACACAUGCAAGUCGAGGGAGGAGCUUUCGGGCUUCGACCGGCGUACGGGUGCGUAAUGCGUAUACAAUCUGCCUUUCACAUAGGGAUAGCCCGAAGAAAUUUGGAUUAAUACCUAAUGGUAUAUAGGAGUGGCAUCACCUUUAUAUUAAAGCUGAGGCGGUGAAAGAUGAGUAUGCGUUCUAUUAGCUAGUUGGAGAGGUAACGGCUCCCCAAGGCGACGAUAGAUAGGGGUUCUGAGAGGGAUAUCCCCCACACUGGUACUGAGAUACGGACCAGACUCCUACGGGAGGCAGCAGUGAGGAAUAUUGGACAAUGGUCGGAAGACUGAUCCAGCCAUGCCGCGUGCAGGAAGACGGCCUUAUGGGUUGUAAACUGCUUUUGCAGGGGAAGAAUAAGGAGUACGUGUACUUUGAUGACGGUACUCUGCGAAUAAGCAUCGGCUAACUCCGUG